GAGCCUCGGAUCAUCGAGAUAAGGCGUCGUAGUUAAGUACGGAAAGGAAUUGGCCAGGUGUUAAUUUGAUGGCGAGCUACGGAGAGGCCUAAAGCCUAAGCAGAACAAUAUCAUUCAACUCAACGCAUCGGAUUCGGGUUAUCCAAUCUGGAUCCGGAGGAGAUCACCUGCUCUGUCCGGGCCGGUAGGAGGCUCCUUGCAGCCGACCAAAACUCUUUGCCCAGUUUUCCCCUGCGGCUUCCAUAUAGCCAUUCACACCCGUCACCUUGCUUCUAACACAUUCACCAACUCAAACCCCCGGAUUCAACUGAUCGUGCCAUACUGGACUUGGGGUCGUUUGGGGAAUUGGAAAGUGAUAUGGGAUUUGUGAAUCACUGAAUUUGAACUUUAUUGCAUGUUGGAACCAGAUAUUUUCAUGUACAUAUUUAUUACUGAAUGGUCAUUCAGGUUUACAUUCACUACUUUUCUAUUUUUUUAUAAAUGUUGGUGUUUUGUCUGUCUUGCUAAUAUAUGGUACCAUCAAAACCUAA